CUUCUUACCUACCUAGCUUUCUUGCUGAGCAGGGAAUUACUGCAGUUUACCUUUUGUAUGCAUUUGCUCAAAUAUGUUCAAUCAUCAGGAAAUCUGGUAAAGACAUAGAAGAUCUGAAGAGAGUAAGUUGUCUUCCUAUUUUGUAGAUCAUCUCUGUUAGAACUGAUGAUCGUUCUGGGUUUGGGUCCAUCAUCCGUGGUUUGGCUAAAGCUGUAACAGAGUGACUUUGUUUCAGCCCAUCAGCUUUUAGUUCUUCUUGGGGUAACAGAACUAGUAUUCCUCGUAAGCUACAAUUGUAGGUUGCAGUUUGAAUAACUCAGUUGUGAGGAAAGGUUUAUUAUGCAUUAGAUUUCUCAUAUUCCUGUUUGGUACAGACAAGUGCCAUACUAGAUCAUGCAGAUGAGCGUGUGUUGGGCCUUCAUUUGCUCCAAUUUGCAGAGUUGCUACUAUUGAAUGUAAGCAAAAUGAACAUGACUAGGGCCUAACAACAAUAGGCCUUCUUCAAUAAGCGAACAAGAAGCAUCAUAGAUUUCGGAUCCUGAUAGCAAGCACUAGCUCCCAGCGCGACUUCAUAAGAAGGGGUCAAGGAUGAAAUACUAGAUAAUGAGAGAGAGGUAGUGCUUACUAUGGCGCUUCCUUUGGAGCCCAGGAAAGACUGUUGAGGAGGCUUGCACCAAUUUCCUGCCAAAUGUGUUGUGGGAUUACCUUUAUAACUUGUCAGAGAACUUCACAAAGUUUUAUUCCAAUUGUCAGGCAUGUAGCUCCACCAAUAAUUGGCAAAAAUGUGAGAAAAUGAGGCAAAUGUGUUAGUUAUUUGCACGGCCAACAUAGAAGUGUCUUCCUAUAUGGUCUAUCCAAUUUGUGCCACAAGGAAGGGUGAUGUGGUAUUUCCAACCGUUGGAUAGAAAGGGCAUGGUCUAAUUGAAUGCAUGUCAAAGUUCCAGAGCCAAAUUAACUCGUAUAACCCCUUCCCUGGUAUUAGAAUCUUCCCCUAGUGCUUUUAUCUGUCCAUUUGUUUUUUCAACAACUUUUAAAAUUACUUCUCUUAAUGAUUUCCAUGGCUUUAUUUCACCAUAUGCCCUACUCUGUAGGUCUGAAAAUUAAUGCAUGAGAACAGGAGGCUUGGCCCCUAUUUCUCCAGAAAAGUUGGUCUCUUUUGGCGGAUAAUAGAGCUUUGGUGGAUGCACUUCCAAUGUGAAUCUUACAGGAAACUGGUCCAGUAAAUAAACUUGUGGUAUUCAGUGAUUGGCAUGAAGGUAUAAGUAGAAAUUUCUUUGGAGAUUCGAUUGUGGAAGUUAAUGGAUUAUUGGUUUGUGGAGCUAAAGCAGAACUUGGCAUAGAUGUAAUUUUUCUAUAUAUACUGUUUUGCUUGAUAUUAUCUUAACCUAUGAAACCACUGUGAUUUCUUGAGAUAUGCUGGGCAGGUUCUGGGAUCAUCCAAGGAAACAAGCAGAUUGUUUUUAUGCGAGGCAACGGCCAUCUUCAUUGGAACAUGCUUCCUUCUACUUGGAAUUACGCCUGUCGAUAGAAUUUGAUCAACUUUUUUUUCUUUUUUCAACUCAAAUUCCCUCUGAUGAGUCUUUGACAUUCACAAGUUUGUUGAUCCAUUCACCGCGGGGCUUGAGAUAAGUAGAGGCAGCAAUAUCUAUAUCUAAUAUCAAUUCAUCUCUGGAGCUUUUUUGGCUGGUUUUUUGACAGGAGAAUCCAGAUAGAUUCAAAGGAGAUGGAAGAUUGGUUAAACCAGGGCCUAUAACUUGGUUGCAUUAGAUCUAAUCUUCAUAAAUACGGUUCCAGAUUCAUUUUGUCAAGUAGCAUGUCCAAGUUUAGGUUAAUGUGGAGUUGGAUCCAAUUAGGAUCCGAACCUGUAUAAGCUGAAUCCAUCCAUUAAAUAUUAAAGAAAACUUGACUUUUGAGUCAAUUUAGAUAUGUUUUUAUGGAGGAUUAUUAGAAUAAUGGUUUAGUCCCAAUUCUAUGUCUAUUGAAUCUUAAUCAAGUUGGUUAUUAUUAGGAUUGUUUAUGUUUAAUUGAAUCAA